rnacentral:tRNA from 1 species
GUCCCUGUAGCGCAAUGGAUAGCGCGUUGGACUUCUCAUCGGAAGCUCGUGGGUUUGAAUACCACUUGGGACG